UACUUAGGAACAUGCCUUUGGGCGGGGGAUAACUAUUGGAAACGAUAGCUAAUACCGCAUAACGUCUACGGACCAAAGGGGGCUUCGGCUCCCGCCCAAAGAGUGGCCUAAGCGAGAUUAGCUUGUUGGUGAGGUAAAGGCUCACCAAGGCGACGAUCUCUAGCUGUUCUGAGAGGAAGAUCAGCCACACUGGGACUGAGACACGGCCCAGACUCCUACGGGAGGCAGCAGUGGGGAAUAUUGCACAAUGGGGGAAACCCUGAUGCAGCCAUGCCGCGUGUGUGAAGAAGGCCUCGGUUG
rnacentral:rRNA from 1 species